rnacentral:rRNA from 1 species
UACGGAGGGUGCGAGCGUUGUCCGGAAUCACUGGGCGUAAAGGGCGCGUAGGCGGCUCGGUAAGUAGGGGGUGAAAUCCUGCGGCUUAACCGCAGGGCUGCCUUCUAAACUGUCGAGCUCGAGCACGGUAGAGGCAGAUGGAAUUCCCGGUGUAGCGGUGGAAUGCGUAGAGAUCGGGAAGAACAUCAGUGGCGAAGGCGGUCUGCUGGGCCGUUGCUGACGCUGAGGAGCGAAAGCGUGGGGAGCGAACAGG